GAUGAAGAACGUCGCGAAAUGCGAUAAGUAGUGUGAAUUGCAGAAUUCCGUGAAUCAUCGAAUCUUUGAACGCACAUUGCGCCUUCUGGUAUUCCGGAAGGCAUGCCUGUUCGAGAGUCAUUAACAACCGUUUCGAUCCCUUUCUUUCAGAAAUUACAAAGAGGAAAAGGGUUUGGUUAUGGUGGAGGAGGGAAAGGGAGCGUUUAGCCUGUAAAAAAAGAGGCUGUGUUCCGCCUCCCCCCCAAAAUUGUACAGGCGGUCGUGUGCGCCCACGCAUCGAGGUGUUGUAAAAGCUGCCACGGCACUUUUCACCUGUGCAGUGCGAGAUUGGCCAGCCGGUUUAAAAACCCCUCCAAACAAUCAAAGGUUGACCUCGGAUCAGGUAGGGAUACCCGCUGAACUUAAGCAUAUCAAUAAGCGGAGGA
rnacentral:misc_RNA from 1 species